rfam:TPA: Bos taurus chromosome 6, whole genome shotgun sequence.
UUCUCUGCAGUCCAGUGGUCAGGACUUGGCACUCUCACAGCUAGGGCCUGGGUUCAGUUCCUAGUUGGGGAA